CUUCACACGUCUCCAUUCUUCCCCAAAUAGCCAGACCAUCAGCUUGUCUUCCUCCCACUGUCUUCAUCUCUCUACCUGCAAUCAACAAAGAUCCAAGAACAACAAGUGAGGAUGGUGACCUGAGCAGUCAGCAGUAGACCGAAGGGGACAAGCUGGAGCUAGAAGCUAGCCUAGAGGGUGGAGUCUGAACGUAGGAAGAAAGAGCAAAGCUUUUAUGAGAAUCCUGCUGGACCAAGUGAGGAGAGCAAUGGUGAUGGCUAAAACUACACAGGGGACCUAGAUGUGGAUCCAUCUAGUGCUAUGUAUGAUCUGGAUGCCACAUAUGGGGGCUGGGAUGAAUAAGUAACUCAUGAUCUAGCUAUGUAAUUCCAUGAACUAUUUUAUCACCACCUAUCUAGUAUUUCUAGUUGGAACCCCAGUGUUAGGAGAUGUAAUAAUUUGGCGAAUGUGUGAGAAGCCUACCUGAGACUUUUAGCCCUGCGUGGCAUGGUAUUGUAAUAUAAAUUACCAUCUCUAGCUA